rnacentral:rRNA from 1 species
UACAGAGGGUGCGAGCGUUAAUCGGAAUUACUGGGCGUAAAGCGCACGUAGUCGGCUUUGCAAGUCGGGUGUGAAAUCCCCGGGCUCAACCUGGGAACUGCAUCCGAGACUGCAUCGCUAGAACGUUGGAGAGGUAAGUGGAAUUCCGAGUGUAGAGGUGAAAUUCGUAGAUAUUCGGAAGAACACCAGUGGCGAAGGCGACUUACUGGACAACUGUUGACGCUGAGGUGCGAAAGCGUGGGGAGCAAACAGG